AUUGAACGCUGGCGGCAGGCCUAACACAUGCAAGUCGAGUGGAGCGGCGGACGGGUGAGUAAUGCCUAGGAAUCUGCCUGUUAGUGGGGGAUAGCGUCAGGAAACGGGAGCUAAUACCGCAUCCUAUCAGCUGAGCCUAGGUCGAAUUAGCUAGUUGGUGGGGUAAAGGCCUACCAAGGCGACGCUCCGUAACUGGUCUGAGAGGAUGAUCAGUCACACUGGAACUGAGACACGGUCCAGACUCCGACGGGAGGCAGCAGUGGGGAAUAUUGGACAAUGGGCGAAAGCCUGAUCCAGCCAUGCCGCGUGUGUGAAGAAGGUCUUCGGAUUGUAAAGCACUUUAAGUUGGGAGGCGUUACCAACAGAAUAAGCACCGGCUAACUUCGUGCCAGCAGCCGCGGUAAUUC
rnacentral:rRNA from 1 species